UUUUGUUUCUUUCCUCUUUUGUUCUUUCUCAGUUUUGGUCUCUCCCUCGUCAACCGAAGGGUGAUCUUCCCUCUCCCCCCUCUGCUGGGUGAUGUCUAGUUUGUGUUGAUUUGUUGGAUUGCAGAUCUGUGCUAAAUGGUGAGACAAGCGAUUCAAUCUGCUUGUGGAUGGUCCAUGCAUGUUCCUAGAGUCUCCCCUGCUGGCUGGUGUCUCGGAAGUGAA
rnacentral:misc_RNA from 1 species